GGGUUUGUAGCACAGAGGCUACUGCGAUAGACUUUUAAUCUAGAGGACGAGGGUUCGAGUCCCUUCAAACCCG
rnacentral:tRNA from 1 species